AGAACACUUUGUAUUUAUUUUAAACAAAUUAGAUAAAGAACAUCAGUAAAACAGAACAGAAAAAGGUGGAUCUGCUCUAGGGCAGAUGGAGGGUGAAGGGCCCCAAGAGUAAAUCUUGAGAUACUAUCAUAAACCUUAAGGCAUCAACAAUCAGAGUCUACAAUGAUCCCAAAUGUUCUUUCAACUGUAAGACUCUAUGAUUCUAUCUUUUCAUUCCUUCUAGGCCAAAUACAGAUUUAAGGGGAAACAAACAAACAAAUAACAUAAAAAUAAAACUAUAUUGGGAGACUAAUAAAGCAUUAUAAGAGAACAGAAGCUUGUCUGCUAAAAGCACUCAAGAGUUCUUAGUAUUGUACUUGGUCUACAUCAUUUAGUAGAACUGAGCAACGGGAAUGAAAUCAAGAAACUGGAGUGAAAUAUUGGGGCAGCAAUCUUAAACUGAAAUUAGAGAUUUCCAUCAGAAUUUCAGACAAAGGUAAGAGAAACAAAAAUACAGUCAAAGUUAGCAACAGUAGACAAUGCUUUAAUGAAACGAUGCAGAGGAUACAAAGUCAGAGUUCGGGCAACAGUGUUUGCCAUUGCAGCCCAGGAAGUUGGGCAUCAUAAAAAGAGCUGACACCAACUCAUGAACUGGCUGCCGCUAUGUCACAGGAAAUCAUCCAGGGAGUCUGAGGGGACUGAAUGAAGCCAAGCUGAGUCAGCAGAUGACUUCCAUCUGGAAGGGAUCAUUCCUAUGUGCCAACUGUGCUCAACCACACUUCGACAGUGUGUUCAGUGGGUCUCCUCAGCUUGUAUUUCCCCCUUUCUCUCCUGCUAUCUACCUGUUCUGCUUUAGAAAUCAGUCUGCUCACCAUGAGAUCAUAACAAAGAAAACAACCUAAACCAGCUGGACAACAUCACAGUUAUUUUCUAUGGCAUAUACUCAAUGGUCAAACCAUGUUGUGGUAGAAAAAAACACGUGACUGGUCGACUGCAGAAAGACCUAAUGCUGGGUUCACUAAUUGUUAAUAACGUGGUUUUAUUCUAGUCACUUAAAUCACUGAAUCUGUUUGCUUAUGUGUGAUAAUUAGAAUGAAAGUAUUUGUAAAUUAUAAUGUGUUACAAAACUGCAAGAAUCUUACUACUGAUUUUAUCACAAUAAACAAGAAUACUAAAUGAGAAAUCUUCAGAAAUUGUAAGUCCUCUUGAUUUGGGAGACUAAAGAUAUUACCAUGUACAAAUAGUAUGGAAACAGAGCAAGAAAGGGACACUGGACACACUCUUCCUUCCUUCUUUGUUUGUAAACCCCCAAUCCCACUUCAAGUUCCAUAAGCACAUCACUGCACUCAGAUACUGAAAAUGAUGCAAAUGAAUUAUCAACUUGGGCCCUGCUUUCAGGAAAUGAUAAUCCACUGGUAAUGUCUAGGACAUACCUGUCAUCUCAUGAGGAUAUUAGAUACUUGAAAAAAAGUUCCUCCUAUUUGAGACACAGCAGAACUGAGAUUCUCUACACAAUGCCAUCUCUUGCACUGCCAUUCUCAAGGGGAGAAUCUUUUAUUGUGGAUAUAUGGGAACUACACACACAUAUAUAGAUAGAUAUUGCUUCAGCAAGCAGCCAGUACGGAGAAAAGAAAAACAUUAAAAAAUUAACUCUUUCUUUUAAUAAUGAAGAGUUUAUUAUCUUGUCUUUUGUGCAAGAAUAUAUUUGUUUUUAAUCUAUAAAAGAUCCCCAAUCCUCUGUUUCCCUCAAGCUACUUUCUUAUUUCUUUCUCUCUCUCUUUUUUUUACUUCCAGGAUUCUUAAGAGAGUUUGCUCUCACUUGUCUCUACCUUUUUUGUCCUCUAUUCAUUUCUUAGUCUAUUGUAUUUUGUUUUAAACUCCUAGUACUUCACUAACAAUGUUCUCAAAGAGAGUCUCCACUGAAUAAACCUUUGACUUAAGAACAACCCUUUUUCUUAUUCUUUUUCAAAACAUCAAGAUGAAAUACGAAGCACACCAUUAUCCCCAGUACAUUGGCCUCACAUUUCUCCUGGUAUGGAUCUGCCCCUGUUUUUAAAUCCCAUUUGUCGUGACAGUAAUUGUCUAUGUGCAAACACGUGUAUGAUGCUAAUACAGGAGUCACUACCAUAUCAUAGUUCAUCAGGAAGGUAAAAACCCUGGAUAAGCAGAGUUUACACUAAUUGGCAGCAGGAUGUAGUCUCUCAAAUGUUUUGAUAUAGCAGAAAAUUUUCAGAAUUCUCUAAUGCCAAAGGCACCUGUAACUACUGGAGUAUUUCAUAUCAGGGAGAAGGUGGGGUUGAACGCUGUGGCUUUAGUCUUCCAGGCCAGGAACCAAGAAUCUCGAGGAUCAUUCAUAAUUAAUUCUGGCAGGAGAAAGAAACGCAGCACCAUUCAAGAAGGCAACAGAUGGAAGUUCGUUCCACUUCUGUAAACUAGAACACUUAGAUGAUCACAUUUAAAAGUCAGGCCUUGCUUUAGUAGAAUUUUUUAAAUUCCUUGGAUUUGGUGAAUAUAUGAACCAUAACUAAGUUCAGAAGAUCCAGAUGGAUAUAGAAAUACUCGUCCCUCCACAUCAGUGAAAAGGAAUUUUUUUUAGUAUUCCUACUCAAACACAUUCACUUGCUAAUAUUUCACUAGGAAAACCACAUGCACUUCCUCUCUAGCUCCCAGCUAUGUUUGUUUUUAUAUAAAAUGAUUUCUUAGAAUUAUCUACAUGCUACUACGAAAAAUGAAAAAUGCAUAACUUUCUCUUUAAUCUUACUCUGUCCUUAAUCAAGCAAGUGUAAGGAGGAAGGACUGUGAAAGCACAGAGUUGGCCUUUGGAGGACUAUGUGAUUAAGCUAUCAGGAAAGAGAUUAUAAAUUGUUAUGGUAGAGACAAUAGAGCUGAAGAGGAGAAGACAGAUUUGAAAAAUAUUUAAGAGAUAGAUAUUCUAGUUUGAUGGACAAUUAUUUAGGGAUGGAAAGUGAGAGAGGAGUUCAGAACAGGUCUGAAUUGUGGCUUGGGAAAUUAUGUGAAUAACCAUGCUAUUCAGUGAAAAUGGGAAUAAGGAGAAUGUGAAAAUGUCUUGUGGGGAAUGAGUUCAUUUGAAGCACGUUAAAUUUUAGUUUUUUUCAGGUCAUAUACACUGAGAAGUUCAAAGGAUUUUGAAUAGCUCUGGAGCUAAGGAAAGACACGUGGUUGGAGUCUCAUUCUCUCUCUCUCUGACACACACACACACCCCUUUGGAGUCAUGAAAACUGACGGUGUAGAAAUCUCAGGAUUGACUAAAUCACUCAGGGAGAAUACAUAGAGUCAGGGGGUAAGGGAGCCUAGACUACUGAGGGAUACUGAUACUGAAACAACUUGAUUAGAAAGUGCCCUUAAACCAUUCAAAGAAGGGAGAGUGAAGGCAGGAUCAAAUGAUGAAACUGAAAACUAAAGAGGAACUUUGAAAAGAACCUAAUUGUCACGAGUUUCAAAUUCUGUGGAGGACAAAUCAAUGGAAUCAGCAACUUCAGUUCCGAGAGAAAGACCUUUCACAGAGGGAGGAGAAACCAAAUAACAAUUGGUUGAGGAAUAAGUGGAGGCCCACCACACAGCAGGAAAUUCAGGUAUAAAAGGAAGGUGAGGCAUGAGGAUAUCCCUGUCAAGGGCCAAAUAAUUAAGAAAUAAUUGCUUAUUUAUAUUUUUUAGUUUUAAGAUGUAAUAGAUUCAGACAGCUUUAUACGCUCAGCGAAAAGUUCUGGCUAACAGAAAUAAAUUGAAUAUAGAGAAAAAUGAGAGAGAUUGAGUAUAGUUCAAAAUGAAAGCAGAAGGAAUGGGAUUUAGAGAGGAGAUAGAGAGGUUUCCAUUAUGAAUAGAACUGCCUUAUUUUCCUAAAGCUACCUGGCUUCCAAAUGAGGAUAUCCAAUAACACAAAAAUUUCAUUUGUCUCUCCCAAUCCACAUACAUUUUUUCAUUGGCCAAACUUAACAAUCAACUGUAGAAUGAGAUGUAGGAGACAGCCACUCUCAGCAAGGGUUCAUACUGGAUUCCUUCUUAACUUUAAAGUAAAAACUACCACCGUCACCAGCACCAAUACAAUAAAAAUCUAAAUCUGGAGUAUUGUGUUAAAAGCACUGUCACGUAUCUUAUCUCAUUUGAACUUCUAAUUAAUAUUCCCAGCAUUCUUCUACCACACUUGUUUAGAAGGGUUCAAUAGCAUAAUAAUUAAAUUAGUAGAAUGUAUCUUAUAUGGAGUUGCCUCUAGAAAUAAUCAAAGGAAACUAAAUCCCCACCUUGGUCUUUCCAAUUCUUUCUCAAUAGGAAAUCUGAAAUGAAAAGAUUGCUUUUCUCUGAGUCAGUUAGUCUGGGGCAGUAGGCUGAAUCAGAAAGAAAAUGCUUAGGCAAAUUCAUUUAUCAUCACUCACCUUUUUAAACUCAAUAAAAGAGUCAUUGUUAUUUUUUUUUAUCAACCUCAUUUUCUUUUCAAAUCAGGAAUUAAGAUAUACUUUGCAAUUUAGGCAAACUGUAGGUGGGAGACCCAGGUUACAAUUGGACAGUAAGUCCCAUUUCGUAUAACAUUAAGUAAUAAUCCUCAUUCAUAGUGGCUAAUUUUACAUCUGAACAACUGUAAUAUCCAACAUUACAAGGUGUCUAUGCCUCUACUAAUUUUAUUCUAAAAAAAUCCUCUCAGAAUAUUUUUGCCAAGUAUCAUAGGAGUUGCCUGGCAACUGCUAAGAGGAAAUGCAAAGAAAGGGAGGUGAUUUCAUAAAGAACUCAGACACAAUCAAAAGCUUGUAAAAAUGAAUUAGAUAUCUGCUUUCCUCAGAAAAAAUAAAUACUAUCCCUUGAGCUGAUUUUAAAUACAAAAAUUAAUAACAUUGUGAAUCAGCUAUAAUAUAAUUAAUAAAAGAGAGUAAGACAUGGGAACUGAUGAAAAGUAACCAAUGAAGCAUUUAAAAAUUCUUUCUUUUUCCUAUCCCACAAUGUGGUUUGUUCAGCUCUUAGAUCCCAGGGCUUAUGAAUUUAUUGUACUCACAGGGAACAUUCUUUAGAAAUUUGUCUGUGGAUGCGAGAAAGCAAGUAAAAACAAUCAGAGCUUAUUUAGCAUGGCAACAUGGGAAUUUUACAGGUUUGGGACUUUAACGGCUUCACAAGUUUUGCAGAAGCAUUAAAGAACUCUAAACAUGAAAGAGAUGGAAAGUUAUCAGCAGGGGGAGGUGCUUAGAAAAGAAGAAAACUCCAAUACAGAGCCCAGUAAUUUCUGUGAUAUGUAGGGAUUUGAUUUAAGAUUAACAUAAAACGUCAAGUACACUCACUCUUUUGUAUUAAUCAAGAAUGUUCUGGUUGCAAGUAAUAGAAAGGUAUCUUAACUCAGUUAGGAAGAAAUAAAGAUUGAUUGGUUGGAUACUGGCUAUUUCACAUAAUCUUGGCAGGCACAGAGAUUUAGCUUCUCAGGGACGACAUAGAUAUCUGAAUGCCUCUAGAACUUUCUCUUUCCAUUCUUCAUCUAUGCUUCUCUCUACAUAGCGGCUUCCUUCUCCCAGUCGAGCUUUCUCCACAUAGUAGAAAUAUGACCACUAGCUGAGCCCAAGGCUCACUUUUCAAAGUUUCAAUACUAGAGGGGAACUGUUCCUCUUGUCUUCUUAAAGGUGGCUUGAAACAUCUCAAGGAAGGAGUUGGACUGGUCAGGCUAGGAUCAGGAGUCCACUACACAAUCAUCAACUGUGGUCAAGGACUCGGGCCCAAGUAUUGGUUGCCCCAUUGGAAGAUAACAACUGAAAAGGAGGAAGAGGAUAUUAGGAGGAAGACGGGAAAGCUCCAGGCCAGACAUAAUGAGUAAGAAAACGAAUAUGUUUGGCCUUUGGAUUUCUAUUUCUUGAUUUGCCCUUUUAUGGAACAUACUCAUGAGUUGACUCUCAAUCACUUUAUUUAGAUGCCCAGCUCCAUUUCUCUUUUAAUAUGUUUCACUCUUCCAGUCAUCCUUCUUUCACAAGGAUUGGAAAAACACCAGGCAGGUGAAAGAGCAUAAUGUGCCCAUAGCCCAGAGUGAGUUGCUGCAACAACCUUGAGACCACAGAAGAAGGACUUUCUAGGAGGUAAUUGUCAUACUUUUAAAACCUAAUAAUUGAAGCCACACCUCUCUCCAGAUUGAGAGUAAGCCCUGGUGGGUGUGAAUCAUGUCUUCUCAUUCUGUCAGUCAUACAGGCAGUCUAUUAGGGUCUGAGUCAAUGCUCUGAGUGUUAGACGGCUGGUCUGCAAGCAGAGGUGACAUGCUCUGCACCAGACAUUUCUGAAGCACGGAUCCUGGAGGGUGGUAGAUAGCUAAGUAAAAGUCUUUCUUUGGAGCAAAGGGAAUUUAAUUCACCUACCAUAUUAACUUUCCCUUCUGGAGGCAUCAACUCAUUCUUAUAUCAGUUUACAGGAAGUUAACUGCUGCCCCUGGGAAUCUGUACCUGUCAGUUAUAAGCUCAAACCUUAAGGAGAUGAAGUUCCUAAUUUGCACUUUGAGUGGCAAUGGAGAAAGAAUGCAGCUCCUGCAUUAUUCACAGGGUGUGAACUAUUAACAAAGUAAGAAAUGUUAAAGCCGAAAAACACUCUUGUGAAUUCAAAAGUGUUUUUGUCUGUUUUCCUCAAAAUGAACCACAUUCAAUCUUUAACCAUUCAAAUGAGAAAACUAAAACAGUUAUUGUCUAAACAAAUAAGUACAAAAUGUUCAUUUUGUUGCCACUCGAUAAAGGUUUUCAGAUGAGAGUUCUUUAUUUUAACUUCUUUCUAAAUUAUGGACACAGUUAUCAUCUUUUGAAGAGCCCUAAAUCCCUCAGCAUAACUAAUUCAAGAUCCUCAGCAACCCUCAGCCUGAUCCAUCAGGGCUUCCCUCCUCUAACCAGAUGUGGCCACAGCUGACUCUUCACCCUUCCAUUCUGAGAAGAAGCCAUGCAUUUCUGGAUCUUUUUGCUCUUGCUCCUGCUGAUCCUCUGCCUGUGAGAUCCUUUCCUCCAAUUCUUUGCAGUCUUGGAGGUCAGCUCAAAUCCCAGCACUUUUGUAAAGCCUUUCCUAACUCCUCUGCCUCCUUCAUCCCCUCCCAAAGUGGCAGCUAUGUCUCUUCUUUUAUGCAUCCACAUUUAUAAAAAGUGUUUCAUUAUAUAUAACAUUUGAUAUGGCACAUUUGCAUACUUGACCACUAUUGAAUGUGCCAAAUUCUAAAUUGUGUUAUAUUUAUUUGCAUGAAUUUUCCCUCUCCCCUGGUUGUGAGAAGUUUCCUUGAGGUCAUGUCUGCUAUUUUGUAUCCUGGAGUGUCUACCCGGGUACAGUGGUCAAACACUUAUUGUAGUGUAAUGUUCUAUGUUCCUCACUAGAUUGCAAGCUCCUUGGGAGAAGGACACUUUCUUCAACUUUGUAUUUCUAGUCUUAGCCACAGGCCUGUGACAGAAUAGGUCAUGAGAAACUAUUUGUUGAAUGAGGGAAUAAAUAAUGAGUAUGGAAUUGCUUAAUUAUAUCACUAGACCGCUAAAUUAUCAAAUAUACUAGAUCCUAAAAGCCAUUUUCCCUCAGACCAAGACAUAUGAGUACUCUCAGCAGGUUAAUAAUUUGAUGCCCAUUCAAAGCCAUAUGCUUUAAAUACUCGUUCAAGACUUAUUUAGUGGGGACAGGGCCUGUAGUUGUGAGAAUUUUUGUUCUGUUUUGUUUCUCCUGAAGCUACUUUCUUCUUCCAGAGGAAUGGGUACUAAUUGGCCGUUACGUAAGGAGUCACAUGUGGAAGCCAGAAUAAACUAAUAUUAAAUUUUGGCAUUAUUCUGGAGAUGUUAAAUUUACUUAUAGAUCAGUAUUCUAGACACCCUUUAAUCUACUUCUGAAUACGAGGUUCACUCAUUGCCUCAGCUAUGAGAUCUAAAUGAUUAAACCCACUCAUUCAAAUUAAUAGUAAAAGCUUGUUAUAACAUAUUGUUUCAGACAAUCCUUAAAUCUUAUACCUCAUCUUUCUCUUCUGUAGAAUGGGGAUAUCGACUCUGAAUUCAUCAGGAUAUUGAUAAAAUAAAAUGAUAAAAUGUACACAUAACACUUAGCUCAGUACCUGACACAUAAUAUGUGCUCAAUAAAAGGGAACAGGUACACAGGAUAUUUUUUUCUACUAGAGUCUGCUGGCACUCCCGAAUAGACCUUUCUGUGAUGAUGGGGAUGUUCUUUUGCUGUGCUGUCCUAUAGAAGAGAUACAGCCACAUGUGGCCACUGAGCAAUUGAAUUGUGGUUCAUGUGACUGAGAAGUUCAAUUUGAUUUUAAUUAAUUCUCACUUAAGUAGACACAUGUGGUUAGUGGCUACCAUAUUGGACAGCACAGGGACUGUAAACUGCAUAAGAAUGGUGCUAGAUCUUGCUCACCAUCUCACCACCAAAGAUUAGAACAAUUCCUGCAUAUAGUAAGGGUUAACAAAUGUUUGAAGAAUGAAUGAAGAGAGUAAAUUUUAAGUGAAGUGGGGAAACUGGGAGAGAGAAAACAAAAUAAUACAAGACAUGAUUUCUGGCAUUCAAGCAGUGGAGAAAACAGAAACUAAGUAGAGUUGACACACUUUAUGGUGGCCACGGGUUUCUAUUGGCCUGUCUAGUUUCAUCCAGAAUGAAAACUUUCAAGCUAAAGGCAAACUUAUACUAUGUUCCAACUGGAAUUAACGUCAACUAGCAACUUCUCCCUUCAAUGAAAUAACUGAGCAAUGUGAAAAUCAAAACAAAUAUCAUAGAGGAGAAAUUUAGGAAAGAUGAAAGAGAAAAGAGUAGAAAGGAAAAAGAGAAAUGUGUUGCCCCGGUGCCAACCAGGAAGUCAGGAGUCCAAUUCCACAGCUUCCUUGUGAAUUUCUGGUCUCCGUCAUAGUAGCCUCCAGGGCUGCAGAAACCAUGUAUCCUAUGCAGUGUCUUUCUGCUCUUGGUAAGCUCUGCUCCUCCCAAAGAAGGCGAAGGGCAUACAUAUAGAAUUUGCUUCUGCACAUGCACCACUGCUCCUCUCCCAAAUCCCUCACCCUCUGAGUCAAAUGGUUAGCUCCUGCUUUCAAUAAAUUAAUUCUAGUUUGCUAAACAUUUUAGGGAUCAUGCUGACUCUGAUUUCACUCAGUCUAGCUAGGAAUAUCCAAUGGGAGGCAAGACUAAAUCUCAUGAAACAUUCAAAAAGAGUCAAACUAGUAAGUAAUAUGGUACCAAAAUGCAUAUUGCCUGGGCAUUUUAGAAUACUGGAUUAAGAUAAUGCUGGUUUAGGAAGGAGCAUGUGUUGUAGAAUAGAUGGGGAAAACAAGGCCCUGGGUAAGACUGUAGAAGGCCUUUUGUGCCACACUGAGCAAGGCAAUUAUGGACCUAUGAGAGAAUUUUCAAUAGGAAAGAGAAGAGGGCAAAAAUGACAUUAGAAACCUUAGGCCAUCUGAAUACAACAUUCUAAAUUUCCAUUAUAGAUACUGCAGAAGAUGCAACCAAUGGCUUAAAAAGCACCAUGUCAUCCAAUCCUAUACAUUGACAUAUAUCGUGCACCAGUCAAGGUCAGAUGGGUGGGAAACAGGUUUCAGUUCCACCAGGAAUGGAGUCCACUAUAUAAAUCCAUAGCAUUGAUGACUUAAAAAUUGAGGGCAGACAACUUUAAAAAUGAUUUGCAAAAAACUGGCAAAUAUAACUGGCAAAUAUGAACAAGAGAAUAUAAUUGAUCUCUCAUUCCAGAUUCAGUUGAAAAUAGCAGUCCUGGGGCCAUUGUUAUGGCACAGAGUGGGCACAGAAAAUUGGAAGUCUACCAGUUUUUACUCCCUGAGAAACAGUAGGGGUCUUAGCUAAUAGAGCUGUGAAUAUUCAAUGAAGGCCAAUAAUCAGUUUGCCACAAAAAUAGCAGCCAUCACAGCUCUGACAGCUUACAGGCUUGCCAGGAAGGGCACCCCAUACCCACGCACAUACUUGGUACGGGGUGGAGAAAACACCAUCCUUAUAAGCAAGCCUUCAAGGGUUGCUGUUUAAUGGUUCUGUCACAGGAAGGAUUAACAAUGCACAGCUUCCUUCUCUGCUGCUUCACAGCUAGUAUUUUAAUAUGCCCAGAAUCUCUAAAGAAACUGUUAGUACCUAACUUAAAUAGGAGCACGCACGAUUUACAUGCUUUCUCGUAAAAGAUAAAUAAAUCCCCCAAAAGCAUAUUGGUUACACAAAGAUAGAUAGCCCCAGUGUUCACAGUGAGCAUCACACCUCGGAGAGGCCUCCAAUUACAUUUGGUUCUUGUCAGACUCAGACAAAAUGUUGGUGCUCCUAUGAAAGUCUGCUGAAACUGUGCUUCUUUGUUUCCUGGGACUUCUCACACUUGAGGAGCAGGGAAUAAAGGACUGCACAGAAGCUGGGCUGCAAGAUCAUAAAAAAAAAUAAGCAGGGGGAAUGGUAAUAAUGUCCUUCCUGGUGGGAUGCCCACCCCAACACAAGCAAGUGAUGGAGAAGGUUCUUAGGGAUUCACUCUUACAGAUCAGGGCAGCUGGCAAAAAGGAGCAGUUGAAAACCCCAACCUUGAGGAGGGAUGACUCCAGCUGUAGCUGCUACAGGCCCAUCUCAAGGCCACCCUCAGAGAAGAACAUUGUGAAAGAGUGCUUGGGAAAGCCUAACAUGUUUGCCCUGGAGUCUGGUAACAACAGACCUGGUGCUGGAUUCUCAACUGCACAUUACUGAAUUGGCUACACUUGCUCUGGCAGCUCAUAGACAAAGCAGAGAGAGACAUGGGUUACAGAGAGUGUGUGGGGUAAUGUAUUUGUGAAGCAAAGAAUAGGAGGGCAUUCCGACUUCUGUUCCAUGACAACCUCAGUGGUUCCUCCGGUUCUAUGCGAAGAGGCAAAGAGGGUAGAGGAAGAAGGAGUUUGGGACUAUCCAGGUGACCAAUGGCCAAUUAAGAACCUGAAUAUAGCAGAUGCUCAAUUAAUAUUGAAUGAAUAAGUCGUUGAAGGAGUGAAUGAACAGGUACCCCGAAUGAAGAUGUCUUCUACUCUCACACUGGUCCAUGGAAGGAAGAAUCAAUAUCCUGAAGUGAAUGAGAAAUUAACAAUUUGAGAACAAAAACAAAGAUUCUUCAUUACCAGUCCUGGCAUGUGGUAAGAGGAUUCUGAUUCUUGUAAGCCCUCCUUGGAUGGACAUACAACGAAACUUGACCAGGCUGUGUCAAGGAAUUCUCCAAUUUCCUGGGAAGAGGAUGGUGCUUAGGACCCACAGUCAGCCUGACAAUAAGAAGAGGAAAUCAUAUGCCAAACAGGUACUCAUGAAUCCGAGGAUCGACAAGUUCCCUGGAGGGACCACUAACAAAUGCUUCUCAUCCCCAUGGAGCCUCUCCAAGCCCACAGCUCCAUCUGAAGUGAUUUUCUGCUCUGGAAGAAACUCCCAAGAGUCAUAUGUCAAGACCAGAAAAUAAAAUAAAAUUAAAUUAAAUUAAAAUGGGUCCAUUGUGCAUUAUUGCUCAUCCUUUCAACUUCUAAAUCCAGUAACUGAAUAUUUAUAUAUCCAUAUACAAUUAUUGCCUAAACCUAUAUAUUUGUUUUAUUCCAUGUAGAUUUUAAGGGCAGUUUUCAGACUUUAUAAUUAUAAUUGUUAAAUGUGUGUCAUUCAACUGAAAUGGACAAUGUCAUGCUUUUAUAACACAUUUAAACAUUUCUGCUUUGCUUCUAAACAAAAUGGUUCACUUCAAGACACUGUUUUCUCGUGGUUUUUAAAAUCCUAGGUUAUAUCAAGAAAAAGAUUACAAAGCUCCUCUUCAAUCCUUAUAUGUUAAGACGACACCCAAGAAUUAAAGGCUACAGAAAGAUAGCUUAUUUGUACAGAGUGAAAAGAGAUGGAUAUACGGAAAAAUAUCCAUGUUAAUAUCUAAAGUUAAUUUUGAUGAUGGUUACACAACUCUGUGAAUAGACUAAAAAUCACUGCAUUGUAUACUUUAAAUGAAUGAAUUAUGUGGAAUGUGAAUUAUAUCUCAGUAAAGCUGUUAAAAUACACAUAUGUGUGUUUAUUCUUAAUAUCGUUGCCUUAAACCAACAUUAUUUGUAUCUAGUGUAGAUAGAUAUCAUGCUGUAAACAUCUCUCUCAUACCAAGUGUCACUUCUUCCUGGAUUUUAUCUUAAAGAUGACUAUUGAAACUCUCAUUUCCUCCCCUCUCCCCCUCCCUCCUACUCCCCAUCCCCUUGCUGUCAAAAAGACUCCCUCCUUUUCAAGGCAGUCCUCCUGCCACAACUCAACUUCCUUAAGCACUGCAGCCCAACCCACCUCUUCUGCCUUGACUGAAACUAUCCUUCUACUCUUUUCUAGCUGCUCCUUGAACUCCACUGUUCCUCCCAUGGUGCCAACUUGGUACUGGUAACCUUCACGGGAGAGGGGGGAUGAGAAAAUAGGGGAAAGGAAAAGGAGUCUUUAUCUCUGACUAAAACCCUACCAUCACCCAUCCUUCUGUUCAGAUCAAGACUAUACAUCCCUGUGAUGGUUAAUUUUAUGUGUCAACUCAACUGAGCUAAAUGAUGCCCAGGUAGCUGGUAAAACUUUAUUUCUGGUUAUAUCUGUGAGGGCGUUUUGGGAAGAGAUUAGCAUUAAUCAGUAGACCUAGGAAAGAAGGUUGCCCUCACCAAUAUGAAUGGGCAUCAUCCAAUCCAAUGAGUUCCAGAUCAGAACAAAAAGGCAGAGAAGGGAGAAUUCACUUUCCCUGGUUGAGCUGCAAUAUCCAUCUUCUCCUGUCCUCAAACAUUGUGCUCUUGGUUCUUGGGUCUUCUGACUUGGACAGAAUUACAGUACCAGCUCUCCUGGUUUUCCAGCUUGCAAAUGGCAAACUGUGAGAUUUCUCAGCCUCCAUAAUUGCGUGAGACAACCCUCGUAACAAAUCUAUCUAUCUAUCUAGCCUCCAUCCUAUUGGUUCUGUUUCUCUGGAGAACUCUGAUUAAUACAAUCCUUACCUACCAAAGCAAAGAUCUCUAGUCUUUUUAAAGCUAAAUACUGGACUGCGUGCUGUUCUAUACACUAGGAAGAGUUAAGAAAGAAGGCAGUAGGGAAAAGGAAAAGCGCUGGGGAGGAAAUCCGGAUCAGACUGUCACUGCUCUGUCUUCCUUCUCUGAAUUCUACCUUCCUUGAUGACUCCCAUCUCCCAGCUCAGUAGGUGAUCUCCUACUUUUGAGCUCAUCUUCAAAGGCCAUGGUUGUUCUGAACACAAAAUAAGGAGGCAGUUCUAUUUAGUAUGCAAAUUCCUGAAAAUGAAGUCAGAAAACUCCAGGCUAUUCCCAGUGCCCCUAAUGUGUUGGGUGCAUUUUUCCAUAGGGUUUCCCAAUUCCCUGGGUUUGGAGAGCAGCUCUAGGUGUCUCCAUUUCAGCUGUAAACACUUUACAUUGUUAUUGUUUCUCUCUCCUUAGAUAAUGAAGCCCUUCAUGGCAGAAACUGUGCCAUAAUCGUGUUUCCCUGUGCCUCGAACAGUGCCUAACUCAUAGAAGGUGCCUCAUAUGUUUGCAGAAUAAACUUCCAAGUGCCAUACUCCUGGUUUCAAAAUCCCACCUCAUGUCAUCCCCUGUUUUCUUUAAUCACUCACUUGGCCCUUUUGCCAAGCAAUUUGAUACCAUUUCCCUUUCAACUAUUUAUCACAGUGAUGCCCUCAUGCUCAGUCCACCACCCAUGAUGGAAUUAUUCUAUACUCACACCUACCCAGAUUCUGCAUACUACAAAUAAAUAGUAAACAAAAAUACCACUAUAAAUUUGCACGGCCCUCAUCUUUUGUUUUUCUUGUUCAGUUAACACAAACUGGCUCCACUUGUCUCUACUGCAAUCCUUUUAAGUAGUAGGGAAAGAUCAGAAAACAGGGAAGAAGAGAAACAUUACUUACCAGGAGUUUCUACAGUAAUUUCCUGCAAAGCUGAAAUCUAAAUAGUGAUUGCAGACCCAAGUCAAGUAUUCUUUACAUAAGAUUGUUUUUGCUUGAUUUUGCUCCCCAUUCUGAGCAUAAGGCAGAAAACAUAUUUAAGGGAUUUGGGAGAGAAAAAAAAAACCUCAACAUCCACACCAGAGUUUUACGCUUAGAUUUUCCACUACCACCAGCAGGUAAACUUGGUCAAAAAUAUCUUGCGGCCUGUAUAUCUUUUAAAGCUUUUCUAGUUUAAAACACACACAGCAAAAUAAUUCUGCUUGAUGGUUUAAUAGCUUUUAUUUAAAAAAUGCACAAGUUUGGGCUUAAUCUGAAAUAAACUUUGCGUAGCAAAUUAGAAACACCUAAGGCAUCUCUUUCCCUCCAUGCUGUAAGCGAAUCAGUCCCUAGUGCAACACUGAGUCUGGCUUGUGAAAACACGAAAACCCAGCCUGCGGUUCUGCGUGUGUACCACACAAGCCUAGAAUAACACCACCUGUGUUAGCUAAAAUGCAAUCUAUUCCAAGUUAUCGUUGCAAUUCAAAACAGGAUCUAAGUUGGAUGAAGAAGCCUUUCUAAUCCAUAGCAUUAACCAGAGACAUUGGAAACUUUGAUCUCGUAGCAUCACAUUGCCUUUCCAUCUAUGCCCACAUAGGGCGCAGUGCAUAUUAACGGAGGAAGCUGAGACUUUCACAGUGCUAGAAGUUGACUGGUUUUUCUGCAAGGAUAGAUAACACACACACUUGCCAAGCCCCAGUUUCUCUAGCCUCUAGGCCUUUGCAUUUAACACUAGUUCCCCAGCUCUGCAAUUCUCUUGCCCUCCCCAUCCUGUAUCUAACUCUCCCUUCCUCUUUAGUUAACUAACUCCUACAUCCCACAGCUCUCAGUUUAGAUCACAAAUGUUCCAAUCUCCCAGACCUGUUAGCAUGUCUGGGUUAGGCCAGCCUUUUAUAUGAGCCCAGAGCACCCUGUACACCUCCGUGUAUUAAUAUUCCUCACAGCAUUUUAUCAUUUCCCAUCUAUUUUUCUGAAUCCUUCACUAGGUUAUAAGGGUAAGGCCUUCUCUAUUUUGUCUGUACUUAAUACCCACCACCCAGCACAUUGCUAGGUACAUGGGAAGCUUCCGCAAAUGCUUACUGAAUGAAUGAAGGAGUACUCAUAAGACCCUUCUUGCUUCUGUGGCUUCCUUUUCAAACUGCUCCUUCCUUAAAGGAAGAUACUUGAUUAAACAGAAAUUUAAUUUUUUACAUUUAGUUUCUUCUUAUAAUUAUCAUGCACAUUAAAUGAGCUACUCUUUCAGCAGUUUCAAAAUAGUAAUAAACCAGGUAGAAAAAUAUAAUAUCAGUAAUUUAAAAUCUGUAGUCUAAUGGUAAUAAUCAAGAAAUUCUGUUCCAGCAAUAAUAAAUGUACUACUACAAAUAUUCAGGUGGAAAGACAGCUGAGUGGAGAGUAAGCAAUGUGAACUGCUGGUUCAGAGCAGGGGCUUGAUCCCCAUGAUAGUUCUGCUCUUGUUCUGGGCACACACGUUGCUCAUAUGGUAACCCCUGCCUGAUCCCCUCCUUAUCUAGCCACCUGCUCUCUGCAGUUGGACUGGAUCAUGUAACUAUUUCCGGCCAAUAAAUUGUGGACAAAAGUGACAUGCACUGACUCCAGAACUAGAGGAGUUAAUUGCUAGUCUGAGAAUCUCCAGCCUUAUCUGUGUCCUGCCACCUCAACCAGUGACGUUCCAAAGGAUGGAAUGCAUUUUAAGCAGGGUCUUGAAACAAGGUCAAUACAGAAAAAAUUCCCUGCCAGUGUCCAUGGCCAGGGGACAUACAGCAUGAGUUAGAAAUAAAUGACGCUGUAGGGCUCUUUGUUACUGUGCCAUAACACAGCCUACAUGGACUAACUGAAUUCCUCUCUGUGCUCUUGUUUGAAUAGGGGUACCCAAGGGGUCCCUGGUUCUCGGAAGAGAGGAACUCAGAUCAGAUAGAAAAUUCUCACCAAUAUGCCAGUUUGGGGCACAUGCCAAAAACAGGUUUGAUUAUGUCCUUAAAGAUAGUCACCAGGUACACUUGUCUCUGCAAGCACUUAUUGAAGUCAUUCUUACACGGCCAUCUCUCUGGUUCUGUCUCUUCUGCCUCCUUCUUCUACUUUCAAGAACCCUCAUGAUUAGAUUGGGCCUAACCAGAUAAUCUAGGAUAAUCUCCCUACUCUAAAGUCAGCUGAUUAACAACAUUAAAGCCAUCUGCAACAUUAAUUCCUCUAUGUCAUGUAAUCUAACAAAUUCACAGAUCCCAGUGAUUAGGACAUGGACAUCUUUGGUGGGCCAUUAUUCUACCUACCACCUUGAGUUAAAUUGCAAACUCACUGGAGGGCAUUUAUAGCUUCUCAGCAUCAUAUCUGAGGUAACACAGUAGCCAUUCUUCACUAAAUCUUAUUUGAUAUGGUUCAUAAACACACUCUAUUAGAUAGGCUAUUCUAAUCUUCAUUUACAGGAUAAGAAACACAUUGAAAAAAGCCCAAACCAUUUUGAGUUUUUGAGGCCCCUAGAACUGAACAAUUAUAGUACUUUUAAUUAUUUAAAUUGAAUUAGUUAACACUUUUAAACAACAAAAACGUGUGAAUGUAUAUAUAACCAUAUUUGGAGAUGAUGUCAAAAGUUUAUAAACUUGAAAAGAGACAAUGGUGUCCUCCUACACUAGGAACAGCAGAAAGGCUGAAUAACUUGUCCCAAAUUCUGAAGGUCCCUUCCCCCAAACCUGACUUCAAAUUGUUGUUAGGAAACCGAUAAAGGAUGGAUAAAUGUACCUGAAUGACAGCAUUCCUCAAGAGCACGAAGAGAAGUGAAGAGCAUGUGCUGGAGCCAUGUUAUUUACGUAUUUAUGCUAUUUAUCUUUAAUGGACAGGUGUUAGAAAUGAAUUGACAAUGUCUAAAUGCUAAGAUUAUUUGUUCCUUAUAGACCACAAGCUGUAGAAUCGAGGUGGUACAGAUGUAUACAUUAAUGUAAGGAUGGGUCAGCCUGCAGCCUCCUUGCCAGUCAAUAUCCAUACAGCCUUGAUAAUUCAGAGGAGAAAGCCCUGAGCGUGCAUUUUGCCUCUAAGUAUGUAUUUAAAAAAUACUUACUAAUGAAUAUCAAAAUGGAAAUUUUGAAGUGGCAUCAAAAGAUAUUUUUCAAAAGGCAAGAAAUAUCAUAGUUCAGGUAAGAUUAGGAGAGAUUAAUUAGACAUAUGCCUAAAAAUACAUUCCCACAGCUAUUAAGCUUUCGUCCUGGGGAAGCUAUGCUAAUAACUAAAUCAUUGGUACUACUAUGACAUUAUCUUUUUGAAAACAAAAUUCAAGAUGACCAGUUAAAUAUUAAGACCCAAAGACAUGUGCUGAUGUUGCUAAUGUGAAGUUGGCUUUGCAAAAUAAGAUGCUUUCUCCUGCCUCCAGAUGGAGUAGAAGGGAUCAUUUCCACAUAUCACUCUACUACCAGUGGGUUGCUCAACUUUUCCUGUAAGAACGAUCUCAUUAGGAUACAGUCCUUCUCAGGCUAACAAGCAAAAUUUCCAUAAGCCUCCAAAACAAUGGUAAUGUUCUUCAUUUAUCUAGCACUGUCUUCUUGUGUGGUGACCAGGGCUGCAAUUAUUGUUUCCAUCUCUCAGAGGAGGAAGCUGGGUCUAACAGACGCUAAGGACUAUUGAGCAAGUAAGUGCAGAUUUGGAACCAUAUGGCUCCAGCUUUUAGCCCUGUGUUCAUUUCAGAAAACUAUCUUGUCUCCAAGAGGGCAACUUGUUUACAAAUGAUGUUCAAAUUAAAUUUGCAUUAUUGUGGCUUCCACAUCUUUGUGCACUGGAUGAUACAGAAGAGAUUACUUUGGGACUGAGAGGUUGGCCUGCUGGCCUAUAAAGACUCUUGGAAACUCUGGGUGUCUAUUAGUCAUGCACAUUUGCACAAUUGUGUCUUGUCUGUACCCAUACAAACUUGAAUGCAUUUCACAGACUCAUUACUCAUCAACUCUUAAAGUGAAUUAAAAUUUUAUUUAAUGUUAUGUUAUCAAGAAAUGAAACUAGUUGUCAAAUACUAAAGAUAAAGUAUUCAGCAGCUAUGUAUUAGCAUAUAAUGCUUUUUAGUGAGGAGGAAAACACGCUCCAGAAACUUCUGGGGUUUAAAUCAAGGUCUCACAACUUCCCGCCUGUAUGAACUAAGCCACAAUUUCCUCUUGAAAAAGGGAAAAAGAAUCUAUGGUUGCCUCAUGGGGUAGUUAUGAGGAUUAAAUGAGAUAAUCUAUAUAAGUCAAUUGUUUUCAACUAAGGUACAUUCCUCCCAUCCAAGAGACAUGUGGCAAUGAUGAGAGUUUAGGGGCAUCAUAGCUUGGGAAGAGGUGCUACCGGCAUCUAGAGGGUGGAGGCUGGAAAUGCUGUUAAAAACCCAACAAUGCCUUACAGGACAGCACACCACAAUAAAGACUCACAAGGCCAAAGAUGUUAAUAGUGCCAAGACUGAGAAACUCUGAUUUAAGCUCACGUUUCAGAGUGCUCAAUAUUGUUAUCUAUUAUUAACAUUAUUAAGCCUCAUGCUGGGUAUCAUGCCAUGAAUCAGGGACCCAAAAUUGGCUAAGGUAGGCCUUUGCCCUUGAGGGCACCAUUAGCUGUAACUUUUAAGCGUAAAUAAUUAAAAUGCAAUACCAUUCAUUCAUAGGGUCAUUAUCUGCAAAGCAAUAUGGAGGGAGUGUACACUACUUCUAUUUGUGGGAAUUGGAGAAGGCCCCACAGAGAAUAUAGUAUUUCCCUUGGACCUUUAAAUAUGAUAGGAAUUUGACAGAAAAUGGAUGGAAGGGUUUUUGGUAUGAAGGUUACGCGUCUGUGGAGGGGAAAGAUGUUGAGGUAUUAAAAAUAUUACAUAAAUAAAAGGUAUAGUAUUUGCAAAGGCUAAAAAGAUGAUUUCAGAGUUGUCAUAUUCAAGAUAUGAUGACUUCAUUAGUGGGAGUAAAGAAUAUGAUGGAUUUGGGUAUGAUUCUGGUCCUAGAGUGGUCAUGGGAUGUGAAGAGAAGCUGGAAACAGAUGGAAUAGUUAGGAGACCAA